CCAAGAUCUGUAACCAUGUUAAUCUGAUUGAUGACCAAAGAAGGCAGUGAUAAUAUUUUAUUUUCAAGAUGAUGUUUACUUCAUCUUAGAAGAAGAACAACAAAGUCAUAACAGAUGAAUGGGAAGAGCCCAAUCAAAGCUUUGUUUCACUCCUCAACAACCCAGGAGGAGACAAGACUCACCUCACAGAGAAUCUUGGAAUU